rnacentral:rRNA from 1 species
GACGAACGCUGGCGGCGUGCUUAACACAUGCAAGUCGAACGGUAAGGCCCUUCGGGGUACACGAGUGGCGAACGGGUGAGUAACACGUGGGUGAUCUGCCCUGCACUUCGGGAUAAGCCUGGGAAACUGGGUCUAAUACCGGAUAGGACUCCUGGCUUCACGGUGUGUGGUGGAAAGCUUUUGAGGUGUGGGAUGGGCCCGCGGCCUAUCAGCUUGUUGGUGGGGUAAUGGCCUACCAAGGCGACGACGGGUAGCGCGGCCUGGGAGGGUGACCGGCCACACUGGGACUGAGAUACGGCCCAGACUCCUACGGGAGGCAGCAGUGGGGAAUAUUGCACAAUGGGCGCAAGCCUGAUGCAGCGACGCCGCGUGAGGGAUGACGGCCUUCGGGUUGUAAACCUCUUUCAGUAGGGACGAAGCGCAAGUGACGGUACCUACAGAAGAAGGACCGGCCAACUACGUGCCAGCCGCCGCGGUAA